GCGCUCAGGGGAAACCGCCCGGGCGGACGGGCUCUGGGCCUGGGGGGUGGAACCUGUGCGGCUUUCCCUUCACAUCUUGCCCUCUCGGAGCUUGGCGGUGCUCCGGGGAGUCAACACAGGGGGAUAGAGCAGCUUUCCCUCACUAAAACCCAGUGCGGAGCUCUUCCCUCCGCCCUGCAUCCUGUCGUGAGGCACACAUGGUCCGUCCCUCCGUUCCCCCCUCGCGGUCCCCUUGCUGCCCGGCUGAUGCCUUUCUCCCUCCGCAGUGUGUCCCGGGGAACCGGCGAGCCCUUCAAAUGCCCCCGACGGGCAGCAGGCCGGGCGCGGCAGGCCUGGGCGGGGAGCAGCGCUGGCGAUCUGUGCUCAGGCCUCCGGACGCCUGUGGGUGAGGGGCACCGAGCUCAGCGCUCCUCUUGCAGCCUGCGGCUGAGGCCUCACAUAACAACCUCAUGCUUGAAAUGUUUUAGACAUGGGUAGUCACACCUAAAUGUGAAGCAGUGCUCAGGACUUCUUAGGAAUAAAUAAUGCCUUCUACUGGAAGGGAUGGGACGACGUGUGCCAGGAACUGACAUUAAACAUCGGUUUGAUUUCCUGGGUGGAUGAUUUGUCACCUCUUGAGUAUUGUCUUGGAAGUAGAAUUGAGACAAGCAAUGGCUUAAAUGAUAGAUUUUCAAUGAUCAUGUUGAAACAGACAUCUCACCAGUUGUUAAAACAGGUUUCCUAACAAAAACUGCUGUAAUUUGACUGUGGAUUAAUUGAAAUAAAUUAUGAGUAUGCUACCAAAA